CUUCCCAUAACUGUCAGCAACCUGUUUUACCGCUAGUUGCCUAUAGAUGGCGAUCUUCCUCCAUAUUUGCCAUGUGUCCUGUAUCUCUGAGUUAGUGCACCAGUAUAGUUUUAACUGGAAGAUAUUUUCCUGUCCCCCUUUUUCCUUGUAGACCACACACACACACACACACACACACAUGCCUUUGUUACCUUCAUAAUGUAAAUAAUUGGAAACCUACUGAAGAAUAUUUUAUUUGGAAUUGCAUUCAAUUGUACCCUGGUGCUUUGCUGUGCUGCAUUCAUUGUAUUACCUUAUAUUGAAGAAAAGGCCAGUGAAUUCCUUUUAUUCCACAUGUCCAUACACCAAGGAGACGCGCACGUAUUUUCCAAUUUUCCUAAUACAGUCCACCCAUUAGUUACUGAGCUAUGCCCGUUGUAAUAGCUCGUGCCUAGCUGGAUCGAUGCCGCGUGAAGAGCGGACAUGCUUUGUUUUGUCAGCGAACACACAUGGUGGUGGUCAGCUAAUGUCUCUAGAUUCAGCUCUCAGUCAGAUGGAGUAGCAGCAGCUAUCACUGUAGACCAAACAAGAACAUUGCUUGUGUGGUUGUGCAUCAAAGGAAAACGUUAAAUGCAAAAUUCCAAAUCGCAUAGGCAUGAACCCAUUGAACUGUGCAUACAAAAUGUUAAUGUGUAGAGUAAAAUGGUGCAGGUUAAGGGCAUUAAAGAUCCAUUUUGCCAAAUUAAUUGAACAGGCUAAUGGCUAAAACGGAAUAAAAAAAGGUUUUUGAAGGUUGAAUUUGUGUUGAAAUAAUGUUCAGAUUAUCCUCAUGCACUUAGUACACUAUCACAGAGUAAUUUAAUCAUCUGAUGCAUGUCCUUAUCUUGUCCCCUCCCCCUUCUCCCUUCUUUUUCUAGCUGUUCGUGCAAGAGCAUUUUUAAGUGAACUUGGUGCACGCAUCACAGGGACCCAAGUGGUUGAACAGCACAGAAAACAUUGUUUGAGCAGUGAAAGUGUGAUUCAAAGCAGAUGAUUUUAACAGCACCACGAGACAAACAGUUCAGCGGCACAGAGAACAGUGUUCAUGCAAGAUCCUUUGUAAGUGAACUUGGCGCACGUGGCAUUCAACACAGCUGAGUGGGAUACCAAGCAUAAAACGGCACAGAAAAUAGUGAGUUUUGUUUCCAAAAUUUUAAAUUAAAAAAGAUAAAGGAGUAAAGUUUUAUUUUUAUUUUUUUCCUAAUA